rnacentral:lncRNA from 1 species
UGAAAUCUAGACUGGGAAUGUGAGACAAAAAAUCAACGUGUGAAGACAUAUUAAUUUAAAAAAAAAGCAGCUUUGUGUAAAACGUGUUCAUAAUUAACAAUGAAAAUUACGAAUUUAUUGAAACGAGUAGUUUAACUUAAUUCCGGGAUCAUCUGGGGCAGGUAGAGGUUUGUUCUUCGUGGGCUGCCGUAGGCUGCGUCAUCUGUAAAUAUCGCGAGUGUUGGAGUCAGUCGGUGUUGCUAGCUUGCUUUUCAUAUCUAAAAUGGCAUUUACUUUGUAUUCUCUAAUCCAAGCAGCUAUCCUGUGCGUCAAUGCUGUGGCUGUACUGCACGAAGAAAGGUUUUUAAGUAAAAUUGGCUGGGGGGCGGACCAAAGUGUCGGAGGAUUUGGGGAUGAACCAGGCGUCAAAGCGCAGCUGAUGAACCUGGUCCGCUCCGUAAGGACGGUGAUGAGAGUGCCACUCAUAGGGGUAAAUUCAGUCUGCAUCGUACUGCUGCUUCUGUUUGGAUGAAGAGGAGUGGAUGAACAGAUGCCCAGGAACUCCAGUGAAGAAACUCUCUCCAUCAUCACAUUCACUCUGAUUACAGUCUCUACAUUCUUAAAUGUGAUAUUUCCUUCUGGAAAACAUUGUAAUUGGAGACAUUUGAAAUUUACAAAAUCAUUAUUGUUUCAACAAACAAACGUACUUACAAAAACAUAAUGCUAAAUGUAUUUUUUUGUUGUUGAAAAACCCAAUAAAUAUUUUUUAGAAAGCCUUUCGCUUGUUUUAUUCAUUCUGCGAAUUCGCGUGGUUUGUCCUAGUUUGCUCACCGUAGACGGGUGACGUAGCGCCUUGAUAUCGGCUUUUAACCUCUGCAAAAUUGAAAAGUAAACCUUAAAGUCAUUUGAAUCCAGAAUGAGAGCGUACGUGAUCGCUUCGGCGUCUGCGUUUUCUGCAUGUUUAGUUUAUGUUUACAUUUACCGCUCUCACAGGUCGGUACAAACUCACGUGCUAGCCAGUAAUAAACUUCCCAGUUUGGUUUAUCUCUACGCGAAAUACUGGAUGAGGACUCUCACGCGCAAACCAGGUGUCCUGCACGCGGCAGCCGCGCCGGAGGUCGAGUAUAGCAUGGUGAACUGCAGGCUGCAGGGGACGGUGUUCAGGAGGUUCUGCAGUGCUGCAGGUUAUGGCUGGGAUUACCCGGAGGCAGAAUUCAGAGACAUCCCACUGUGCUUCCCGGAAUUCCUGUGUUCCAAACUUCUGCUUUUGCUGCUGACUGAUGAAAACUUCAGGCUCAGUCCAGCAGGACUGGUCCGGGUGCGUCAGAGCCUGCAGACGCUUCAGCCCGUCGAUGAGCUGAAGAAGGGUCCGUUCUCACUGCAGGCCAGGGUUCUGGGGUAUCAGCAGACCCGCGCGGGCAGAGGUGGACAUCCGCCUGUCCGCCACCUCCCGCUCUGGAUCCACGGUGUGGGAAAGCGUGCUGACCUUCCUGUCUGAAGGCAGAGGGUCACUCCAGAAUGUAGACGAGAGGCGGCAGCAUCACG